rnacentral:rRNA from 1 species
CAGCACCUCAAGUGGUCAGGAGGAUUAUUGGGCCUAAAGCAUCCGUAGCCGGCGCUGUAAGUUUUCGGUUAAAUCUGUACGCUCAACGUACAGGCUGCCGGGAAUACUGCAGAGCUAGGGAGUGGGAGAGGUAGACGGUACUCGGUAGGAAGGGGUAAAAUCCUUUGAUCUAUUGAUGACCACCUGUGGCGAAGGCGGUCUACCAGAACACGUCCGACGGUGAGGGAUGAAAGCUGGGGGAGCAAACCGGAUUAGAUACCCGAGUAGUCC